rnacentral:rRNA from 1 species
CGGAUGAGUAACUGGUUAAUCUUCUCUCUUCUGGUGGAGAAUUCCGUCCGGAAAGGGGCGCUACUACCGAACAUCGCUUGGGCAAAUUCCGUGGACUCUUGUUAACAAUUUAUCGCUUGAGGAGGACCUUGCUGAUUAUUAACUUGUUGGUAAGGUAAUGGCUUACCGCUAUGAUCAUCUGUAACCGGUCUAAGGGGAACGUCGGUCACACUGAUGAGAAUAACGGGUCCUACUCCUACGGGAGGCAGUGGGGAAUUUUUUUGGGUGAUGGAAAACCUGACGACCCAACACCGCGUGGUGGAUGAAGACCGUUGUCAUGUUGUCUCCUUUUUUCCGUGGGGAAAAAGAUGACAGUACCCGAAGAAGAACCCCCGGCCUCUGUGUGCCAGCCGCCGGUAAUACCACGUAUGGGGCGAUUGUUGUCCGGAAUUAUUGGGCGUAGGAGCUCGUACGCGGUUUCGUAAGUCCUGUGUGAAAACUCCACUCUCAACCUGGAGACCCCACUAAAUUGUGCUGCGACAUUGUGCCAGAAGUGCGAUUGAGUUCUUCCUGUUGUAGCGAUGAAAUGCUAUGAUAUGAGGAAGAAC